CCCUAUUUGGAUAAACAUAAAUGCCGGAUUAGGCUUUUUUGGGUGAGGUAACUGCUCAGCAAAGGGCGCCCAAUUUCGUAGGUGGUAUGAGAGGGCCGAUCCACCCCCCGCUGGACUAAAGCCCCGGCCCAGACUUCUGCGGGAGGCAUCAGUGGGGAAUAUUUGGACAAUGGGUACAAGCCUGAUUCCAGCAAUGCAGGGUGUGUGAAGAAGGCCUGUGGGUUGUAAAACACCCUUCAGUAGAGAAGAAAAGAUCAUUGUUAUAUACCCGUGAAUUGUACUGUAACCUACAGAAGAAGCUCCGGCUAACUCCGUCGCAGCAUCCGCGGUAAUACGGAGGGUCAGAGCGUUAAUCGGAAUUCUUGGGUAUAAAGCGGGCGUAGGCGGUUUGUGUCAGUCGAAUGUGAAAGCCCAGGGCUUAACCUUGGAAUUGCGUUCCGAUAGUGCCUGGUUAGAGUAUGGUAGAGGUAAGUGGAAUUUGCGGUGUACCGGUGAAAUGGGUAGAUAUCGGAAGGAACUUCAGUGGUAAAGGGGACUUCGUGGGACAAUCCUGUCCCUCGAGGUUGUCCACCGUGGGGAGCCAACAGGAUUAGCUUUCCUGGUAGGC
rnacentral:rRNA from 1 species